rnacentral:rRNA from 1 species
AGAGUUUGAUCCUGGCUCAGAACGAACGCUGGCGGCGUGGAUAAGACAUGCAAGUCGGACGAGAUUUCGUCCUGUAGCAAUAUGGGAUGAAGUCUAGUGGCGAACGGGUGCUUAACACGUGGGCAACCUGCCGAGAAGUGGGGGAUAGCUCGCCGAAAGGCGAAUUAAUACCGCAUGUGAUCAGAGAGGACAUCCUUUCGAAAUUAAAGCUGGGGCAACCUAGCGCUUCUUGUGGGGCCCGCGGCCUAUCAGCUAGUUGGUGAGGUAACGGCUCACCAAGGCUUUGACGGGUAGCUGGUCUGAGAGGACGACCAGCCACACUGGGACUGAGACACGGCCCAGACACCUACGGGUGGCAGCAGUCGAGAAUUUUUCUCAAUGGGGGAAACCCUGAAGGAGCGACGCCGCGUGGAGGAUGAAGGUCUUCGGAUUGUAAACUCCUGUCAUUGGGGAACAAGGUGCAUACGUUAACUGCGUGUGCAUUGAUAGUACCCGAAGAGGAAGAGACGGCUAACUCUGUGCCAGCAGCCGCGGUAAUACAGAGGUCUCAAGCGUUGUUCGGAUUCAUUGGGCGUAAAGGGUGCGUAGGCGGCGCGGUAAGUCGGGUGUGAAAUCUUGGAGCUUAACUCCGAAACUGCAUUCGAUACUGCCGUGCUUGAGGACUGGAGAGGAGACUGGAAUUUACGGUGUAGCGGUGAAAUGCGUAGAUAUCGUAAGGAAGACCAGUGGCGAAGGCGGGUCUCUGGACAGUUCCUGACGCUGAGGCACGAAGGCCAGGGGAGCAAACGGGAUUAGAUACCCUCGUAGUCC